UCCCUGGUGGCUCAGAUGGUAAAGAAUCUGCCUGCAAUGCAGGAGACCCUGGUUUGAUUCCUGGGUUGGGAA
rnacentral:tRNA from 1 species